rnacentral:rRNA from 1 species
AUGGCAAGGUGUGGAUGGAGUUUAUGUGAUUGUCAACUAACACAACAUGUCUAUGCAUCCAAGUGCCCCGAUGCACGUGAUUGGCUCUUUCAUCUACUGGAAACGACACCCCAUGAGGAGUUCAUCAAGAUACUGCUGAUGCCGUGGGCGAUAUGGACUGCUAAGAGCAAAGCAAUCCACGAAGCAAUUUAG